rnacentral:rRNA from 1 species
GGGUUGUGAGGUUAAGCGACUAAGCGUACACGGUGGAUGCCCUGGCAGUCAGAGGCGAUGAAGGACGUGCUAAUCUGCGAUAAGCGUCGGUAAGGUGAUAUGAACCGUUAUAACCGGCGAUUUCCGAAUGGGGAAACCCAGUGUGAUUCGUCACACUAUCAUUAACUGAAUCCAUAGGUUAAUGAGGCGAACCGGGGGAACUGAAACAUCUAAGUACCCCGAGGAAAAGAAAUCAACCGAGAUUCCCCCAGUAGCGGCGAGCGAACGGGGAGGAGCCCAGAGCCUGAAUCAGUGUGUGUGUUAGUGGAAGCGUCUGGAAAGGCGCGCGAUACAGGGUGACAGCCCCGUACACAAAAAUGCACAUGCUGUGAGCUCGAUGAGUAGGGCGGGACACGUGGUAUCCUGUCUGAAUAUGGGGGGACCAUCCUCCAAGGCUAAAUACUCCUGACUGACCGAUAGUGAACCAGUACCGUGAGGGAAAGGCGAAAAGAACCCCGGCGAGGGGAGUGAAAAAGAACCUGAAACCGUGUACGUACAAGCAGUGGGAGCACAGAGCAAUCUGUGUGACUGCGUACCUUUUGUAUAAUGGGUCAGCGACUUAUAUUCUGUAGCAAGGUUAACCGAAUAGGGGAGCCGAAGGGAAACCGAGUCUUAACUGGGCGUUAAGUUGCAGGGUAUAGACCCGAAACCCGGUGAUCUAGCCAUGGGCAGGUUGAAGGUUGGGUAACACUAACUGGAGGACCGAACCGACUAAUGUUGAAAAAUUAGCGGAUGACUUGUGGCUGGGGGUGAAAGGCCAAUCAAACCGGGAGAUAGCUGGUUCUCCCCGAAAGCUAUUUAGGUAGCGCCUCGUGAAUUCAUCUCCGGGGGUAGAGCACUGUUUCGGCAAGGGGGUCAUCCCGACUUACCAACCCGAUGCAAACUGCGAAUACCGGAGAAUGUUAUCACGGGAGACACACGGCGGGUGCUAACGUCCGUCGUGAAGAGGGAAACAACCCAGACCGCCAGCUAAGGUCCCAAAGUCAUGGUUAAGUGGGAAACGAUGUGGGAAGGCCCAGACAGCCAGGAUGUUGGCUUAGAAGCAGCCAUCAUUUAAAGAAAGCGUAAUAGCUCACUGGUCGAGUCGGCCUGCGCGGAAGAUGUAACGGGGCUAAACCAUGCACCGAAGCUGCGGCAGCGACGCUUAUGCGUUGUUGGGUAGGGGAGCGUUCUGUAAGCCUGUGAAGGUGUGCUGUGAGGCAUGCUGGAGGUAUCAGAAGUGCGAAUGCUGACAUAAGUAACGAUAAAGCGGGUGAAAAGCCCGCUCGCCGGAAGACCAAGGGUUCCUGUCCAACGUUAAUCGGGGCAGGGUGAGUCGACCCCUAAGGCGAGGCCGAAAGGCGUAGUCGAUGGGAAACAGGUUAAUAUUCCUGUACUUGGUGUUACUGCGAAGGGGGGACGGAGAAGGCUAUGUUGGCCGGGCGACGGUUGUCCCGGUUUAAGCGUGUAGGCUGGUUUUCCAGGCAAAUCCGGAAAAUCAAGGCUGAGGCGUGAUGACGAGGCACUACGGUGCUGAAGCAACAAAUGCCCUGCUUCCAGGAAAAGCCUCUAAGCAUCAGGUAACAUCAAAUCGUACCCCAAACCGACACAGGUGGUCAGGUAGAGAAUACCAAGGCGCUUGAGAGAACUCGGGUGAAGGAACUAGGCAAAAUGGUGCCGUAACUUCGGGAGAAGGCACGCUGAUAUGUAGGUGAAGUCCCUCGCGGAUGGAGCUGAAAUCAGUCGAAGAUACCAGCUGGCUGCAACUGUUUAUUAAAAACACAGCACUGUGCAAACACGAAAGUGGACGUAUACGGUGUGACGCCUGCCCGGUGCCGGAAGGUUAAUUGAUGGGGUCAGCGCAAGCGAAGCUCUUGAUCGAAGCCCCGGUAAACGGCGGCCGUAACUAUAACGGUCCUAAGGUAGCGAAAUUCCUUGUCGGGUAAGUUCCGACCUGCACGAAUGGCGUAAUGAUGGCCAGGCUGUCUCCACCCGAGACUCAGUGAAAUUGAACUCGCUGUGAAGAUGCAGUGUACCCGCGGCAAGACGGAAAGACCCCGUGAACCUUUACUAUAGCUUGACACUGAACAUUGAGCCUUGAUGUGUAGGAUAGGUGGGAGGCUUUGAAGUGUGGACGCCAGUCUGCAUGGAGCCGACCUUGAAAUACCACCCUUUAAUGUUUGAUGUUCUAACGUUGACCCGUAAUCCGGGUUGCGGACAGUGUCUGGUGGGUAGUUUGACUGGGGCGGUCUCCUCCUAAAGAGUAACGGAGGAGCACGAAGGUUGGCUAAUCCUGGUCGGACAUCAGGAGGUUAGUGCAAUGGCAUAAGCCAGCUUGACUGCGAGCGUGACGGCGCGAGCAGGUGCGAAAGCAGGUCAUAGUGAUCCGGUGGUUCUGAAUGGAAGGGCCAUCGCUCAACGGAUAAAAGGUACUCCGGGGAUAACAGGCUGAUACCGCCCAAGAGUUCAUAUCGACGGCGGUGUUUGGCACCUCGAUGUCGGCUCAUCACAUCCUGGGGCUGAAGUAGGUCCCAAGGGUAUGGCUGUUCGCCAUUUAAAGUGGUACGCGAGCUGGGUUUAGAACGUCGUGAGACAGUUCGGUCCCUAUCUGCCGUGGGCGCUGGAGAACUGAGGGGGGCUGCUCCUAGUACGAGAGGACCGGAGUGGACGCAUCACUGGUGUUCGGGUUGUCAUGCCAAUGGCACUGCCCGGUAGCUAAAUGCGGAAGAGAUAAGUGCUGAAAGCAUCUAAGCACGAAACUUGCCCCGAGAUGAGUUCUCCCUGACUCCUUGAGAGUCCUGAAGGAACGUUGAAGACGACGACGUUGAUAGGCCGGGUGUGUAAGCGCAGCGAUGCGUUGAGCUAACCGGUACUAAUGAACCGUGAGGCUUAACCUUACAACGCCGAAG